CCGCUCCUGAGAUCUGCUCGAUUCACGGGACCUCCCAUACCGGGACGUGCCCGAGAGCUCUGCUCGGUCGCUGUGGGGAUCAGGAUAUUAGUUCAAGGAUCGGUGGUUGUGGGAUUGGCGAUGCUCCUGCCUAGGAGACAGUUGAGCUUUUGGCCCGUUAACUAGAUCAUAGGAAAAAUGCACGGGCUAGAUUUGUUUUGCGGUAUUCGUAGAAUCAAUGGAUGGUUCUGGCGACUAGCAGUUUCCGCCUUGCCAGAAGGUUUUGGGGCUGAAGUUAGUAUUCUGCCACUUGGGAACUUGUUUCAUUUCUAUUUCAGUUUGUUAAAAGCGAAUCUUUUGUCAGUCUUAGGGCCUUGUCACACAAAGUUUCGGCUGGAAUUUGAUGAAUUCAGUCAUAGCCAUGUUUUUGGUCCACGAGGCGGAGGCACAUGAGCUCUCCCACAGUGGAGGUGGCACCGGGGGACACCGCUAGAGCGAGUAGGCAGGGAGGAUCUUCCACUGGAGCGAGUAGGCAUGGAGGAUCUGCCACCGAAGCGAGGAGACGUGGAGGUGCGAGUAGGCCGAGGGGUGGGUUCUUCCAUGGCAAAGUUGCCAUCAAAGAGACCACCUGAUUGAGAAGCCGGGAGGAGCUAGCGCCGUCAGUGUGUUGGGUGUCAGUCUUCUUUGAGUCCUCUGUCUGGUGGAGCUGGGAGAGCUUGCAGUACACAUCAACAACUUAUGAUGUAUGAGCUUGCACGGGAUAAGAAUACAUGGAGAUCUUAGCAAAUAUCCACAGAGAUACCAAAGGGUGGCCACCACUCGUGUUCGAAGCGGCAGCACCUGUGCACUGGUUCAUCUAUAAGAUGAUAUGUAGAUGAACAUCAUCUCAAGCAGUGGUGCUUCUAGUGUUGUGGUGAGAAGCUAUUGAGGGACAUCAUUGCAGCAAGGUGGCAUUGGUACCUGGCUUUUCAAAAUGCUCUCCAGCGGAGGCGAUGGGUUGGAGGGGUGAGGUUCAGCAGGAAUGUCAACCUGAACAAGUUAAUCUUCAAAACGGACUACUCGCUAAUCUGGGUGUCGUUUGCGGAGGCGAUGGGUUGGAGGGACAAGGUUCAACAGGCACGCCAUAUCAGCCUGAACAAGGUGAUCUUCAAAACGGACUACUGACAAAUCUGGGUGUCGUUUGUGGAACUCAAGGGAGUUUAGCAGAGCAGGCAUUACUCCAAUCCCGAAUCACCAACCCUGAACCAAAUAGUUGUAUUAUGUUCCCAUUAUUUUGUGUUUAUGUUAAGAGGUGAACAUGACAGCUCAUAUUACUGCUAAAAUUUGUCUCAGUCGAGCAAACAGAUUGUACAUGGAAUUCCAAGGCUCCCUUUUCCUUAGCUCUAUGUACUUCAACAUGGUUGUAUUCUGGCUUUAUUUGCAAUAUCUUCUUUUAAAAAAAUAAUAAAAUCGGAA